rnacentral:rRNA from 1 species
CAGCACCUCAAGUGGUCAGGAUGAUUAUUGGGCCUAAAGCAUCCGUAGCCGGCGCUGUAAGUUUUCGGUUAAAUCUGUACGCUCAACGUACAGGCUGCCGGGAAUACUGCAGCGCUAGGGAGUGGGAGAGGUAGACGGUACUCGGUAGGAAGGGGUAAAAUCCUUUGAUCUAUUGAUGACCACCUGUGGCGAAGGCGGUCUACCAGAACACGUCCGACGGCGAGGGAUGAAGGCUGGGGGAGCAAACCGGAUUAGAUACCCGAGUAGUCC